rnacentral:rRNA from 1 species
CCUACGGGUGGCAGCAGUGAGGAAUAUUGGUCAAUGGGCGGGAGCCUGAACCAGCCAAGUCGCGUGCGGGAUUACGGCCCUACGGGUCGUAAACCGCUUUUGCCCGGGGGUAACACCCUCCACUUGUUGAGGUCUGCAGGUACCGUACGAAUAAGGGCCGGCUAAUUCCGUGCCCGCAGCCGCGGUAAUACGGAGGGCCCGAGCGUUAUCCGGAUUUAUUGGGCUUAAAGGGAGCGUAGGCGGGCGGUCAAGUCAGCGGUAAAAUCGCGCGGCUCACCCCCGCCCCGCAGUUGAAACUGGAGGUCUUGAGUUCACAAGAGGCAGGCGGAAUGCGUGGUGUAGCGGUGAAAUGCAUAGAUAUCACGCGGAACCCCGAUUGCGAAGGCAGCCUGCCGGGGUGCGACUGACGCUGAGGCUCGAAGGUGUGGGUAUCAAACAGGAUUAGAUACCCGUGUAGUC